CCCAGUGUUUAGACUAUCUGUUCAGGACUCCCAAUUGUACAGUAGUCUGCACAUUGGUUA
rnacentral:pre_miRNA from 1 species